ensembl:lncRNA
CUUUGAAUGUAUGGCGGCGUCGUUUGUGUGGAUUAUGCGUCAACAUUUCUGUCCUGGUUAUGGAAACGUUUAUGAUUCAUGCGAUUAUAUGUAGACAAUAAACUAGUGUUUAAAAAAACAAAACAAAUGAGAGAGAUGUUUUUUUAAAGAAGUAGCGCUAGAAUUGAGUGCUGUUACUAUACGGAGCUAAAUAGCUAGCUUAGCUUCCUGCAUUAAGGCCUAAUUGUGAGCUUGGCACGUUUUAGGAAGCAACCUUGGGGAUAGAUAUGAGUGUUUAGUUACAUGUUGUAUCAUUUUGAAUUUAGUCGGUUAAUCUGCUUUGAAAUUAUAUAGUGAGGUUCUGCAAACAUGUUAAAUGACCUGAGCAUUGGAUGAUGAUGAUGAUGAUGACCUGCUAAUUUAGACAUUGAUCUCUGAAGGCUUUAUUCUGAAGGUCCACCUUCCUCUGAGCUGAAGCUUUAUCUCCUAGAACAGCAGCAAACAUGACUGGAAUCCAAUCCAGAGAUGAGUCGGUUGGAGACAGUUCUGAUGAUGAACCUCUGAGUAAAAUGGUGAAACCUGGCAAGAAGUGUCCAGAAGAUGCACGUAAGACUGAAGCAGUCUGAUGCUCUUGUACACUUCGAUCAUGGUUUACUUCGGCCACUUUAAUAAAAAUCCAAAAGUGUGCUAUGUUAUGAUUAUCGCUUGUAAUCAUAUCACUAACCGAACCUGUGUUUUCAGCCUCGGAUAUCAUGGAAGAUGCUUCACCAAAGAAAACCCUUAAAGAGCCCACCUCUGCUGCGGAUGGUAAAAAAAAAAUAAAUAAAAAAUAAAUUUCUCUAAAUUUAAGGAUCAAAUUUGUGCAUACUUUUGAGAUCUACACGCUGCCUCUUAGUUCCAGCAUCCCAGGUUUUCCCAGGGUUUCCUCAGGGUUCUCCAGUUUCCUCCCAGGUCCCACAAAACAGUAGGUGGAUUGGCUGCUCUAAAUGGCCCUUAGGUGUGAAUGAUUGUGAAUAAUAUGUAUACGGACUUCUUUUAUCGCUGUUAACUUCUUUUGCCAUUUAGGCAUAAAUUAUUCCUAACAUAUCUGCUUCAAGUCUGUUCUUUACAAACUGUUCAACUUAUUGAUUUUUUUUGAGUAAAAGUUAAAAUCGUGGGGUGUUAAAAAAAUUGGAUUGUCUUUCAGUGGGACAGAUGGGGAGACGGGCAUGUCUGAGUGGGACAGAUGGGUAGACGGGCGUGUCUGAGUGGGACGGAUGGGUAGACGGGCGCGUCUGAGUGGGACGGAUGGGUAGACGGGCGCGUCUGAGUGGGACAGAUGGGUAGACGGGCGUGUCUGCGUGGGACAGAUGGGUAGACGGGCGCGUCUGCGUGGGACAGAUGGGUAGAUGGGUAGACGGGCGCGUCUGAGUGGGACAGGUGGGUAGACGGGCGCGUCUGAGUGGGACAGGUGGGUAGACGGGCGCGUCUGCGUGGGACAGG